CGCAACGCGAAGAACCUUACCAAGGCUUGACAUAUAGGGAAAAGUGGCAGAGAUGUCAUGUCCGCAAGGGCUCUAUACAGGUGGUGCAUGGUUGUCGUCAGCUCGUGUCGUGAGAUGUUGGGUUAAGUCCCGCAACGAGCGCAACCCUCGUUCUGUGUUGCCAGCAUUUAGUUGGGGACUCACAGGAGACUGCCGGGGUUAACUCGGAGGAAGGUGGGGAUGACGUCAAAUCAUCAUGCCCCUUAUGUCUUGGGCUGCACGCAUGCUACAAUGGCCGGUACAGAGGGCUGCAAUACCGUAAGGUGGAGCGAAUCCCAAAAAGCCGGUCUCAGUUCGGAUUGAGGUCUGCAACUCGACCUCAUGAAGUUGGAGUUGCUAGUAAUCGUAG
rnacentral:rRNA from 1 species